rnacentral:rRNA from 1 species
GUCCACGCCGUAAACUAUGAGAGCUAGCCGUCGGCAAGUACACUUGUCGGUGGCGCAGCUAACGCAUUAAGCUCUCCGCCUGGGGAGUACGGUCGCAAGAUUAAAACUCAAAGGAAUUGACGGGGGCCCCGCACAAGCGGUGGAGCAUGUGGUUUAAUUCGAAGCAACGCGCAGAACCUUACCAGCCCUUGACAUGUCCCGUAUGGUUUCCAGAGAUGGAUUCCUUCAGUUCGGCUGGCGGGAACACAGGUGCUGCAUGGCUGUCGU